rnacentral:rRNA from 1 species
GAUGAACGCUGGCGGCGUGCCUAAUACAUGCAAGUCGAGCGAACGGACGAGAAGCUUGCUUCUCUGAUGUUAGCGGCGGACGGGUGAGUAACACGUGGAUAACCUACCUAUAAGACUGGGAUAACUUCGGGAAACCGGAGCUAAUACCGGAUAAUAUUUUGAACCGCAUGGUUCAAUAGUGAAAGACGGUCUUGCUGUCACUUAUAGAUGGAUCCGCGCUGCAUUAGCUAGUUGGUAAGGUAACGGCUUACCAAGGCAACGAUGCAUAGCCGACCUGAGAGGGUGAUCGGCCACACGGGAACUGAGACACGGUCCAGACUCCUACGGGAGGCAGCAGUAGGGAAUCUUCCGCAAUGGGCGAAAGCCUGACGGAGCAACGCCGCGUGAGUGAUGAAGGUCUUCGGAUCGUAAAACUCUGUUAUUAGGGAAGAACAUAUGUGUAAGUAACUGUGCACAUCUUGACGGUACCUAAUCAGAAAGCCACGGCUAACUACGUG